AUGUCCAUCUCCAUCAAGGGGCCCCGGGCGUCCUUGACGUGGCAGGAAGCAGGGCUGCAGACACAGAGCACAGCCCUGAAGAGCCACAUGUGCCUGGGGCCAGAGCAGGGAGGGGGCGUGGAGCCCUGGGCUGCAGGGGAGCGAGGCCAGCAACCCAAGCCUUGCUGCAGACGCAGGGACCUGGGGUGGAAGACAGCCAUGCUGGGCCACUGGUCUUCAGACACGCUGGAAGCACAAGUCUCCGUCAAGGCCCCGGAAGUCUACACUCUGGAUUCCAGCUGUGGGAGCACAACCGGCUCCACAGUGGUCGUGGGCUGCCUGGUCUCGCGCUACAUCCCUGAGCCAGUGACCGUGACCUGGAACUCGGGCAUCCUACCCAGCAGCGUGCACACCUUCCCAUCCGUCCGAGGGUCCUCGGGGCUGUACUCUCUCAGCAGCACUGUGACCGUGCCUGCCAGCACCCCGUCCGGCAAGACCUUCACCUGCAACGUAGCCCACCCGGCCAGCAGCACCAAGGUGGACAAGCACAUCGGUGAGAGGACGGGCCGCAGGGAGGGUGUCCACUACAAGACAGUGUUCAAGGUCCCCAAAGAUCCCACAUGCCCCAAGUGUCCCGAAUGCCACAAGUGUCCCGAAUGCCAAAAGUGUCCCAAAUGUCCACCUACCGUGUCUCCCCAACCAGCCCCUGAGCUCCCAGGAGGACCGUCCGUCUUCAUCUUCCCCCCGAAACCCAGGGACACCCUCACAAUAUCCCAAACUCCCGAGGUCACCUGCGUUGUGGUUGACGUGGGCCAUGAGGACCCCGAUGUCCAGUUCUCCUGGUAUGUGGACGAUGUAGAGGUGCACACGGCCAAGACAAAGCCAAGGGAGGAGCAAUUCAACAGCACCUACCGUGUGGUCAGCACCCUGCCCAUCCAGCACCAGGACUGGCUGAAGGGAAAGGAGUUCAAGUGCAAGGUCACCAACAAAGGCCUCCCGGCCCCCAUCGUGAGGACCAUCUCCAAGGCCAAAGGGCAGCCCCGGGAGCCGCAGGUGUACGUAAUGGCCCCAGCGCGGGAAGAGCUGGCCAAGAGCUCGGUCAGCGUCAGCAUAACCUGCAUGGUCACCGACUUCUACCCGAGCGACAUCGACGUGGAGUGGCAGAGAAACGGGCAGCCGGAGCAAGAGGAAAACUAUGGCACGACCCCACCCCAGCUGGAGGCCAACGGGUCCUUCUUCCUGUACAGCAAGCUCAGGGUGGACAAGAAGAGCUGGCAGCGGGGAGACACCUACACGUGUGUAGUGUUGCACGAGGCUCUACACAAUCACAACACGCAGAAGUCCAUCACCCAGUCUUCGGGUAAAUGA